GUCACAUACACAGCAUCAGGCAGAAACACACAGGCAAACACACACAAUUACAGCAAGCCACACAUACACACACAGUCAGACAGCCACACUCACUCUGACAAUCACACAUAGUUACCUCUGUUCAUUGUGGAGGCAGUGCAGCUCCCGGAGACUAUUUGGUGUGGAAGCAGGGACUCCUUCCCCUGCAGCAGUUAUCCAGCACUUUUAGCUACGCCCCCGCCGCAAUUUUUUUAAAUCCCAGCCGGCCAUGUGUGAGUUGUCGGUUGCAGAAUGCCCCCUGUGCUUGCACAACCCUAAGGCCGGCCCUGAAAGUGUGUCUGUCAGUCAGUGUUGCAUUG